CGUGAGUGAAGAAGGUUUUCGGAUCGUAAAGCUCUGUUGUAAGAGAAGAACGUGUGUGAGAGUGGAAAGUUCACACAGUGACGGUAACUUACCAGAAAGGGACGGCUAACUACGUGCCAGCAGCCGCGGUAAUACGUAGGUCCCGAGCGUUGUCCGGAUUUAUUGGGCGUAAAGCGAGCGCAGGCGGUUUAAUAAGUCUGAAGUUAAAGGCAGUGGCUUAACCAUUGUUCGCUUUGGAAACUGUUAGACUUGAGUGCAGAAGGGGAGAGUGGAAUUCCAUGU
rnacentral:rRNA from 1 species